CCAGCCGAGAAAUUGGCAUCCAAUUCUUUGAUUCACUUUUGGACACAAAGAAAAUAGAACGAUUCAACCCUCCCAGCAAUGUCACCGUACGUUGCAACACGACGCACUGCCUCGUACGGUGGAAACAGCCCAGGACCUAUCAGAAGCUGUCAUACCUGGACUUUCAGUACCAGCUGGACGUCCACAGAAAGAAUACCCAGCCUGGCACGGAAAACCUGCUGAUUAAUGUUUCUGGUGAUUUGGAAAAUAGAUACAACUUUCCAAGCUCUGAGCCCAGAGCAAAACACAGUGUGAAGAUCAGAGCUGCAGACGUCCGCAUCUUGAAUUGGAGCUCCUGGAGUGAAGCCAUUGAAUUUGGGUCUCACUCUGUCACCCAG
rnacentral:sRNA from 1 species